UGCGGUUCUCAGGUGACGCACCCCAGGUUCCGGCUCCCUCCUCUCUGGUUCCAGGUGCGUCACCCAAGAACCGCA
rfam:Myotis lucifugus cont2.49081, whole genome shotgun sequence.